UAAAGUUUGAUUCUAGUUUGCGGAAUUUAUUAACUGAUGGUUGUACAUGCUAAUAUUUGUAUGAUUUAGUUUAUCUGAAUGAUUAGAUUUUUUAAAAUUGCAGUUCUUAAUUUUGAGAUUUAAGUAAAUUUAGAUUCAGUCAAUUGGUUUAAUUCUGACAAAGGUUGUGCCAGCAGUCGCGGUUACACAUCUGGAGUGAAUAAAUUGGUUUCGGUUAUUGGUUUAAUUUGUUUUUAUAGAUAUUAUAAUUAUAUUUGUAUUUUUGGGUGAAAUCGGAAAUUUAUGUAAUUUAUAGUGUAAUGAUUAAAUCAGAAAGUUUAUAUUUAAACUAGGAUUAGAUACCCUAUUAUUUUGAACUGUUAUAUUAAUACCUUAGGAUUAAUAGCUAUGUCCUUAAAAUUAAAAGAAUUUGGCGGUAAUUUAGUCUUUUUAGAGGAACCUGUCCUGUAAUUGAUGAUCCACGAUGAAUUUUACUUUAUUUAUUGUUUAUAUACCUCUGUCAUGAAUGUUUUAUUAGAAUAUUUUCAUUAAUCUUUAUGGGAAAUAUGUCAGGUCAAGGUGUAGCUAUAAUAAAGAAGAGAUGGGUUACAUUAAUUAUAUUUUUGGAUUUAAUUAUGUAAAUUUUAAUGAAAUUGGAUUUAGAAGUAAUAGUUAUUAGAAAAUAACUUUGAUAAUUGCUCUGAGUUAUGCACAUAUCGCCCGUCACUCUCGUCGAAUUUAUAAGAUGAGAUAAGUCGUAACAAAGUAGACCUACCGGAAGGUGGGUCUAGAUAGU
rnacentral:ncRNA from 1 species